AUGAGACUAAAUAUUGCCAUCUUCUUUGGGGCUCUCUUUGGUGCUCUGGGGGUUUUACUCUUUCUGGUGGCUUUUGGAUCAGAUUACUGGCUUCUCGCGACUGAAGUAGCAAAGUGUUCAGGUGAACAAAAUGUAGAAAACGUCACUUUCCACCAUGAAGGAUUCUUCUGGAGAUGUUGGUUUAAUGGGGUUGUGGAAGAGAAUGAUUCCAAUAUCUGGCAGUUCUGGUACACCAAUCAGCCCCUGUGGAAGAACUGCACCCACGCUUACCUGUCACCAUACCCCUUCCUGAGAGGCGAGCACAACUCCACCUCCUACGACUCUGCAGUCAUUUACCGUGGCUUCUGGGCAGUCCUGAUGCUUCUGGGGGUGGUCGCCGUAGUGACUGCAAGCUUUCUGAUCAUCUGCGCAGCACCCUUCACCAGCCACCUUCUCUACAAAGCCGGGGGAGGCGCCUACAUCGCCGCAGGAAGAAGAAAAGAAGAAGAAAUGACAGCUUUAGAAAAUAAGGAAGGCUGCAUUACGGCACAUUUGCAUACCGAUUCCCGGAGCCUGUCCCAAGCUAAUUGUAUCCAGGUGGGAGCCUCCAGACUGAAGCCAGGCCACUGCCCCGGGCCAAAGGUGCUUUCUAACCAGGGCUGCCUUCUGCUGACAUCUCAGGCUGAGGCUCUGCCCUGGUCCAGCCAUGGCCAGCGAUGGGAGGCUGCAGAGCGUGAGGGGAAUAGGGGUCCCCCACCCCUCUGGCAUUGA
rnacentral:lncRNA from 1 species